AAAAAGAUAAACUCUGAGUUUCCGCUCCGUGUCUAAUUUUAACUGUCCAUUUUAUAUAAAUUUUUUUUAUAAUUUAUAUUUUUAUUGAUGUUAAAUGAUAAAGCAUGAUUAAUAUUUUAUGUGUGAUUUGUCUUUUUAAUUUUUUUCAUAAUUUUUUUAAAUAAGAUGGACGGUUAAACGUUGGACAUGGAAAUC
rnacentral:pre_miRNA from 1 species